UUAAUUAUUAAAAAUUAAAAACAUCCUUGUAUUUUCUGGUUUUAUUUAUUUGUUUAUUUUGGUAUUACAACUUUAUUUAAAUAUUGGCCUAUUUUGCCAAAUUCUUAACUAAAAAAAAUUAGGAUUUAAUAUUGUCAUAAUUGCUCAUGUUCAUAAAAAUCAUUAUCUUCCUAAAUAAAUUGCAAAAUUAAAAAAUACUUUAAAAAGUUUUAAAAGCUUAUGAGUAGAUUUUUAGAUUAGUUAUUCUUAAAUUGAGCUUAUAAAAAUUUAAAUUGCAUUAAUUAUGUUCUGUCUAUCUGAAUGUAUUCUGGUUUCAAGAAUUAAAAUAUAUUUCUUGAUUUGUUACAGAGUUUAUAUGCAAUGCCGAGGAAAUUAAUGAAAGUGAAGUAAUAUUUUCAUGCACAGCUUUUAAUACACAUGUAAGAAAAUGGGAAAAUAACAAUUGCACACCAUCAAUGUAAUAUAAACUGUCUACAGAAAAACACAAGAAAAAAAGAAGUGUAUGUAAGAAAAAAAGAAGUGUGAAGUCAAGUAAUGUAUUAGUAGUAGUAACAGUACAACCUACUUUGAUGAUAUGAUAAUAGUAGUAGUAACAGUAUGUUAUGUAAUUACAUUUUGAUCAUCUGUUAAAAAUAAGUUACUUACAUAAAAUAAAUCAUUUAUUCAUUUCUAUUUAUUCUUUUAUUUAUUUAAAACUUGCUCUUUUUUAAUAUUGGUUUAAUCUGCAUAACCAAAUAAACUUCUCCACUAGAAAAAAGUGCUUUGAAAAUAUAUAUAAAAUCAUUAAUAAUAUUUAUUUAUUAACUAUAAUGUGGGUCCUGUUUUUCAAUGCCCUCACGUGGAGAACUAUUAAAGGUACAAUAAACGUUAAUUGAAUUGAUAGGAAAAUAAAUCAAAAUUUAAUAAUGUCCCCCUCCAUAUAUAUAAAAAGGUAAAAUUCCAUAAUUAUAAAAAGAUUUUUACUUGAUUAAAAACAUUUCAAGCAAUAUGUGUUACUCAUAUAUCUUUAUACUUUUUAUUUACAUUAAAAUCAGUUUUUUGAAGCUAUACAUAUACUAGUGAUUAGUAAAACUAAUUGCAUAAUUAAAUAUUAAUAUUUUUUAUUUAACAGUGAAUAAACUAUGAAUUUUACUAUGAUAAACACUACCUGAAUUUUUAAUACAUAUGAUGCAUGUUUGUAUAUAUAAGUAUUAAAUAAUUUUUUAUCAAUAUUUGUUCCAGUCUUAUGAUUGAGAAAUGUAUAACAUAUUUAAUCUCUAAGGGUUAUGUUAAGUUCUGUGCUUUAUAGCAUUUUUGUAAAAAACAGACUUGUCUGUAAUGCAUAAAUAAAAUAAACUGCACAUUUAA